rnacentral:rRNA from 1 species
AUCGAACGCUGGCGGCAUGCCUAACACAUGCAAGUCGAACGAAGCCUUCGGGCUUAGUGGCGCACGGGUGCGUAACGCGUGGGAAUCUGCCUCUUGCUUCGGAAUAACAGUUAGAAAUGAGUGCUAAAACCGGAUGAUGUCUUCGGACCAAAGAUUUAUCGGCAAGAGAUGAGCCCGCGUAGGAUUAGGUAGUUGGUGGGGUAAAGGCCUACCAAGCCGACGAUCCUUAGCUGGUCUGAGAGGAUGAUCAGCCACACUGGGACUGGGACACGGCCCAGGCUCCUACGGGAGGCAGCAGAGGGGAAUAUUGGACAAUGGGGGAAACCCUGAUCCAGCAAUGCCGCGUGAGUGAUGAAGGCCUUAGGGUUGUAAAGCUCUUUUACCAGGGAUGAUAAUGACAGUACCUGGAGAAUAAGCUCCGGCUAACUCCGUGCCAGCCGCCGCCGUAAAAC